CAUGCCACACCAUACCAGCCAGUGAGCCAGGCUGGUUCUUCUUAUCACAAAAGAUCAAAUGCCCAGGAACAUGAGUCAUCUGAAGAUUCCUGCUAAUGAGCAGAGCCCUGCAUGAGGGUUGACAAGACUGAAGCCCAGAGUUCUUUGUCCAUGAAUGUCGGACAAGAAUGAUCAGUGCCUGCUUCUCUUAACUUCGAAUCUGCUUUAGCAGAAAGAGCUUAAUGGAAAAGCAUGCCCUGCACUUCUGUUUUCCAUGAGGAGCCAGAAGUCAUCAGCAAAGCUGCAGCCUAAGAUGAGGGAAGCCAUUCGCCUCCUGGGGCCUCCAUGGAGUGAAUGCCUUUAAGAUGACAAGAGCUGGGAUGUAGGAGGAAGGUCAUUUUCUCUCCAAUCUCACACUAAGAAAACGACUAUACAUCCAGGUUAUUCUGAACCAUGGAAAAAAACAGAAAAAAAUACAAAGGAAGCAAAGGAACAAUGAAAAUUGAGGGAUGAUGAGAAAAAAGAAAUGAAGGGAAGGAAGAAUGAAAAAAUAAAGGAGAAGUAUAGGAAGAAAGGAAGGAAAGAAGGAGAAAAUAUUCUUCUAACACUUAUAAAGACAGAGACCAAGUGGGGAACUUGGACUUCCAUCCUACCUGGCUGUAAUGAGUGGCAUCCCCACCCUUCCUUCCUGUGCCAUAGAAGUGUCAGAGAAGGUCUGCUAAAAUAGAAGACUUAAGUGGAAUCCAGACACUCACAACAUACUACACAAAUGCUUAGGUUGUAACCAAUACUUAUUCAUCAUAGGAAAACCAAGAAUAUCUCAAUUUCAAUAAGAAAAUACAAUCAAUAGACACCAAUACUGAGAUGGUACAGACAUUAGAAUUACCUGAGAAAGAUUUUGAAGUAGUCAUCCUAAUAAUACUUCAAUGAGCAUGUACAUUUUGAAAAAAAUCAAGAAAGUCUCAGCAAAACAAGAGAACAUAUAAAGAAGGACUAAACAAAAACUGUAGAACUGAAGAAAACAACUAAAAUUUUAAAACUGAAUGGAUAGACUCAACAGCAAAAUGUAAGGGACUGAGGAAAGAAUCAGUGAACUUGAAUAUAAAACAAUAGAAAUUAUUCCACUGGAACAACAGAGAAAAAGCAGCCUGAAAAACAAAGAGCCUGUUGCUAUCACUAAAUAGCUAAUAGUCAUGGCGCCAGAGUCUGGGAAGGAGAGGAGAGAGAAGGUAGAGUUUACUCGAUAAGAUAAUAACUGAAAAAUAUCCCAAAGUUGCACAGACAUAAACCUAUGGAUUCAAGAAGCAGAGAAAAUUCCCAAACAAAACAAACCCAAUGAAAUCCAUGAGAAGAUAUAUCAUAGUCAAAAUCUGAAAACUAGAGUUAAAAAAAAAAAGCAGCAGGAGUGAAAUGACAUCUUACAUAAAGGGGAAAAACAAUUGAAAAGAUAGCAGAUUUCUGAUAAGAAACCAUGUAGUCCAGAAGAAAUUGCUAUGACAUUUUUCAGGUUCUGAAAGAAAAGAACUGUCAACUCAUAAUUCUAUAUCCAGGAAUGAAGGAAAAACUAAAUACUUUCAGAUGAAAAAUAGCUAAAAGAAUUU